GCUCCUACGGGAGGCAGCAGUAAGGGAUAUUGGUCAAUGGGGGAAACCCUGAACCAGCAACGCCGCGUGAGGGAAGACGGUUUUCGGAUUGUAAACCUCUGUCCUCUGUGAAGAUGAUGACGGUAGCAGAGGAGGAAGCUCCGGCUAACUACGUGCCAGCAGCCGCGGUAAUACGUAGGUGGCAAGCGUUGUCCGGAUUUACUGGGUGUAAAGGGCGUGUAGCCGGGUUGACAAGUCAGAUGUGAAAUCCUGCGGCUUAACCGCAGAACUGCAUUUGAAACUGUUGAUCUUGAGUACUGGAGAGG
rnacentral:rRNA from 1 species